UUAAGUUAGAAAGGGCGCACGGUGGAUGCCUUGACACUAGGAGUCGAUGAAGGACGGGACUAACGCCGAUAUGCUUCGGGGAGCUGUAAGUAAGCUUUGAUCCGAAGAUUUCCGAAUGGGGAAACCCACCAUACGUAAUGGUAUGGUAUCCUUAUCUGAAUACAUAGGAUAAGGAAGACAGACCCAGGGAACUGAAACAUCUAAGUACCUGGAGGAAGAGAAAGCAAAUGCGAUUUCCUGAGUAGCGGCGAGCGAAACGGAACAUAGCCCAAACCAAGAGGCUUGCCUCUUGGGGUUGUAGGACAUUCUAUACGGAGUUACAAAGGAACGAGGUAGACGAAGCGACCUGGAAAGGUCCGUCGUAGAGGGUAACAACCCCGUAGUCGAAACUUCGUUCUCUCUUGAAUGUAUCCUGAGUACGGCGGAACACGUGAAAUUCCGUCGGAAUCUGGGAGGACCAUCUCCCAAGGCUAAAUACUCCCUAGUGAUCGAUAGUGAACCAGUACCGUGAGGGAAAGGUGAAAAGCACCCCGGAAGGGGAGUGAAAGAGAUCCUGAAACCGUGUGCCUACAAAUAGUCAGAGCCCGUUAACGGGUGAUGGCGUGCCUUUUGUAGAAUGAACCGGCGAGUUACGAUCCCGUGCGAGGUUAAGCUGAAGAGGCGGAGCCGCAGCGAAAGCGAGUCUGAAUAGGGCGUUUAGUACGUGGUCGUAGACCCGAAACCAGGUGAUCUACCCAUGUCCAGGGUGAAGUUCAGGUAACACUGAAUGGAGGCCCGAACCCACGCACGUUGAAAAGUGCGGGGAUGAGGUGUGGGUAGCGGAGAAAUUCCAAUCGAACCUGGAGAUAGCUGGUUCUCCCCGAAAUAGCUUUAGGGCUAGCCUUAAGUGUAAGAGUCUUGGAGGUAGAGCACUGAUUGGACUAGGGGUCCUCAUCGGAUUACCGAAUUCAGUCAAACUCCGAAUGCCAAUGACUUAUCCUUAGGAGUCAGACUGCGAGUGAUAAGAUCCGUAGUCAAAAGGGAAACAGCCCAGACCGCCAGCUAAGGUCCCAAAGUGUGUAUUAAGUGGAAAAGGAUGUGGAGUUGCUUAGACAACUAGGAUGUUGGCUUAGAAGCAGCCACCAUUUAAAGAGUGCGUAAUAGCUCACUAGUCGAGUGACUCUGCGCCGAAAAUGUACCGGGGCUAAAUACACCACCGAAGCUGCGGAUUGAUACCAAUGGUAUCAGUGGUAGGGGAGCGUUCUAAGGACAGUGAAGUCAGACCGGAAGGACUGGUGGAGUGCUUAGAAGUGAGAAUGCCGGUAUGAGUAGCGAAAGACGGGUGAGAAUCCCGUCCACCGAAUGCCUAAGGUUUCCUGAGGAAGGCUCGUCCGCUCAGGGUUAGUCAGGACCUAAGCCGAGGCCGACAGGCGUAGGCGAUGGACAACAGGUUGAUAUUCCUGUACCACCUCUUUAUCGUUUGAGCAAUGGAGGGACGCAGAAGGAUAGAAGAAGCGUGCGAUUGGUUGUGCACGUCCAAGCAGUUAGGCUGAUAAGUAGGCAAAUCCGCUUAUCGUGAAGGCUGAGCUGUGAUGGGGAAGCUCCUUAUGGAGCGAAGUCUUUGAUUCCCCGCUGCCAAGAAAAGCUUCUAGCGAGAUAAAAGGUGCCUGUACCGCAAACCGACACAGGUAGGCGAGGAGAGAAUCCUAAGGUGUGCGAGAGAACUCUGGUUAAGGAACUCGGCAAAAUGACCCCGUAACUUCGGGAGAAGGGGUGCUUUCUUAACGGAAAGCCGCAGUGAAUAGGCCCAAGCGACUGUUUAGCAAAAACACAGCUCUCUGCGAAGCCGUAAGGCGAAGUAUAGGGGGUGACACCUGCCCGGUGCUGGAAGGUUAAGGAGAGGGGUUAGCGUAAGCGAAGCUCUGAACUGAAGCCCCAGUAAACGGCGGCCGUAACUAUAACGGUCCUAAGGUAGCGAAAUUCCUUGUCGGGUAAGUUCCGACCCGCACGAAAGGUGUAACGAUUUGGGCACUGUCUCAACCAGAGACUCGGUGAAAUUAUAGUACCUGUGAAGAUGCAGGUUACCCGCGACAGGACGGAAAGACCCCGUGGAGCUUUACUGUAGCCUGAUAUUGAAUUUUGGUACAGUUUGUACAGGAUAGGCGGGAGCCUUUGAAACCGGAGCGCUAGCUUCGGUGGAGGCGCUGGUGGGAUACCGCCCUGACUGUAUUGAAAUUCUAACCUACGGGUCUUAUCGACCCGGGAGACAGUGUCAGGUGGGCAGUUUGACUGGGGCGGUCGCCUCCUAAAGUGUAACGGAGGCGCCCAAAGGUUCCCUCAGAAUGGUUGGAAAUCAUUCGUAGAGUGCAAAGGCAUAAGGGAGCUUGACUGCGAGACCUACAAGUCGAGCAGGGACGAAAGUCGGGCUUAGUGAUCCGGUGGUUCCGCAUGGAAGGGCCAUCGCUCAACGGAUAAAAGCUACCCCGGGGAUAACAGGCUUAUCUCCCCCAAGAGUCCACAUCGACGGGGAGGUUUGGCACCUCGAUGUCGGCUCAUCGCAUCCUGGGGCUGUAGUCGGUCCCAAGGGUUGGGCUGUUCGCCCAUUAAAGCGGUACGCGAGCUGGGUUCAGAACGUCGUGAGACAGUUCGGUCCCUAUCCGUCGUGGGCGUAGGAAAUUUGAGAGGAGCUGUCCUUAGUACGAGAGGACCGGGAUGGACGCACCGCUGGUGUACCAGUUGUUCUGCCAAGGGCAUAGCUGGGUAGCUAUGUGCGGAAGGGAUAAGUGCUGAAAGCAUCUAAGCAUGAAGCCCCCCUCAAGAUGAGAUUUCCCAUAGCGUAAGCUAGUAAGAUCCCUGAAAGAUGAUCAGGUUGAUAGGUUCGAGGUGGAAGCAUGGUGACAUGUGGAGCUGACGAAUACUAAUAGAUCGAGGACUUAACCA
rnacentral:rRNA from 1 species